GAUCCUGGCUCAGGAUAAACGCUGGCGGCGCACAUAAGACAUGCAAGUCGAACGGAAGUCGUUUACGAAAUGGAAAUGAAGAUUUAUCUGAUUGAAGUUUUGUAACAAUGGCUUUAGUGGCGGACUGGUGAGUAACACGUAAGCAAUCGUACCUAUUAGAGGGGAAUAACAAUGAGAAAUCAUUGCUAAUACCGCAUAAGCUUGUAGUACCGCAUGGUACAGCAGAAAAGGAGCAAUCCG
rnacentral:rRNA from 1 species